rnacentral:rRNA from 1 species
CGGGGGGGCAAGCGUUGUUCGGAAUUACUGGGCGUAAAGGGCGCGUAGGCGGCCUGCUAAGUCGGACGUGAAAUCCCUCGGCUCAACCGGGGAACUGCGUCCGAUACUGGUGGGCUCGAAUCCGGGAGAGGGAUGUGGAAUUCCAGGUGUAGCGGUGAAAUGCAUAGAUAUCUGGAGGAACACCGGUGGCGAAGGCGGCAUCCUGGACCGGUAUUGACGCUGAUGCGCGAAAGCCAGGGGAGCAAACGGGAUUAGAUACCCCGGUAGUCCUGGCCCUAAACGAUGAGUGCUUGGUGUGGCGGGUAUCGAUCCCUGCCGUGCCGAAGCUAACGCAUUAAGCACUCCGCCUGGGGAGUACGGUCGCAAGGCUG